CUGAUCUACCUGGAGACUGAAGCCCUCUAAUUUAUCCACAGAUCAAUCACUGCACAGGUAGCAGCAGAGCAAGAUUCUAACACACCAUUCUGCCUGAAAUCUUUCACCAUGCCAUGCAGCGACUGACGCUAAGGUGGUUCAGUCUCAUUCCCUCUCAGCUGAGAUAAU
rnacentral:sRNA from 1 species